rnacentral:misc_RNA from 1 species
CUCUCUCUCCCCUUGGGAUUGGUAUUGAGAGAUACUCUUAGUCGAACUAGGCGUUUGCUUGAAAUUUAUUGGCAUGAGUGACGCUGAGAAGUGCAUUCAGGAAAUAUCAAUGUAUUAGGUAGUUAUCCAACUCGUUGACAAUUCUUGGUUGUGAAUUUUUGGUGUUAGGCUUUGCCUUAAAAAACAACAAACAA